rnacentral:rRNA from 1 species
UACGUAGGGGGCAAGCGUUGUCCGGAUUUAUUGGGCGUAAAGAGCGUGUAGGCGGCCAGACAGGUCCGUUGUGAAAACUCGAGGCUCAACCUCGAGAUGUCGAUGGAAACCGUCUGGCUAGAGUCCGGAAGAGGAGUGUGGAAUUCCUGGUGUAGCGGUGAAAUGCGCAGAUAUCAGGAAGAACACCCGUGGCGAAGGCGGCUCUCUGGGACGGUACUGACGCUGAGACGCGAAAGCGUGGGGAGCGAACAGG